AGCUGCUGUGUUCAGUCCGCCAUUGCAAACACGAAGCUCUUCCAGAAACGCCCUCACAGACACCCCGGAAGUCACGUACCCACUCUGUAGGUGCCCCGGGGCACAGGCAAGCGGACGAGCCAGUUAUCCCUCAGAGCUCCUGCUGCCUCGCCCGCUUUCUCUCGGAAACGUGAAGUGUGGCCUCAGCUGAAAGUGAGGUGGGCCUCAUUCAAUCAGUUGAAUUCUUCAAGAGAGAAAAACUGAAGUCCCUUAGAAGGAAAGAGUUCUGCCUUCAGACUGUCUUUGAACUUAAGACUGUAGCGUCGACUCCUGCCGGAAUUUCCAGCCUGCUGGCCAGCUCUGCAGAUUCACACUUGCCAGCCUCCACAAUCGUGUGAGCCAAUUCCUUAACUUCUCUUUCUCCGUGUAUCCCUUUGGUGCUGCCUCUCUGGGGAGCCCUGACUAAUAUGCAUGCAGAUGAUACGGUGCCUGGCAUUCUGAAUACAUGCACUAAAUCCACCACUUUUCCCCAUUUAUAGAUUUGGAUUAACACACUAACUUACUCAUAUCUGCAAGUAUAAAUAAAAAAAAUUGCUGGUGCCAAUUUCAAAGUUUUGCCAUGAGGUAGCUUGAAGGAAUGACAUUUUAAGGAAUUCGCUCAAG
rnacentral:lncRNA from 10 species